GGUGGUGGAUAGCUCUAGUUAACUAAUAGAUGUUAUCCAACGCUGGAGGUAAUGAUGCAUUCAAUUCUGAGUACAUUGUUAAUUGUUAUUUGAUGUUUUUUUAGCCAUAUGCAAUAUCCUUCUCUUGUGGAAGUGCAGCAAUGUUUUUCAUUAUCUAAAACAAUUAUGUGUUUCUGCUGUCCCAAGGUGAAUUAUUUAUUUCCAAGAGAAUAGAAAUGACCUGGUGCCACUGAGAGACAGACAGAGGAAAACAUUUUUCCAGUUUUAUCCAGAAGGAAGCAGCUGGGACAGCAUUGCAAGAAGUCUUCCUUGCAAAGUGUGCAAAGUUUUUGAUGAGUUGAGAAAUGAGAAUAACAGAGCUACUGAAACUCCAGAGCAUCAGAAAUCCAGUGCAUUAAUUUCAUAUGAAAUGAUGCUGUGCCUCUAACUCUUGAAGAGGUAGCCCUGAAGAAUCCAGUGCUGGAAGCUAAAUCAAGAGUUACAAAUUACACUGCUAAAGAAGAAAUCUCCCAAACUGGAAAAGUAUGUGGAAGCUAGAAAUGGUCUUUUAAAAUAUUCUCUAAAAGCUACAUCAGGUACAGACAAUAUAAAUACUUAGAAGUCUCAGUAUU
rnacentral:lncRNA from 1 species